GACGAACGCUGGCGGCGUGCCUAAUACAUGCAAGUCGAACGGGUGCAGCAAUGCACCAGUGGCAGCCGGGUGAGUAACACGUGGGAACCUUCCUAGGGGUACGGAACAACUCAGGGAAACUUGAGCUAAUACCGUAUACGUCCGUGAGGAGAAAGAUUUAUCGCCCUUAGACGGGCCCGCGUCGGAUUAGCUAGUUGGUGGGGUAACGGCCUACCAAGGCGACGAUCCGUAGCUGAUCUUAGAGGAUGAUCAGCCACACUGGGACUGAGACACGGCCCAGACUCCUACGGGAGGCAGCAGUGGGGAAUCUUGGACAAUGGGCGCAAGCCUGAUCCAGCCAUGCCGCGUGAGUGAAGAAGGUCUUCGGAUUGUAAAGCUCUUUUGCCAGGGACGAUAAUGACGGUACCUGGAGAAUAAGCCCCGGCUAACUUCGUGCCAGCAGCCGCGGUAA
rnacentral:rRNA from 1 species